AAGGAACGCUGGCAGCGUGCUUUACACAUGCAAGUCGAACGGGAUUAUUAUCUUCGGAUGAUAUGAGAGUGGCGAACGGGUGAGUAACACGUAAGAAUCUACCUUUAGGACGGGGAUAACUUCUGGAAACGGAUGCUAAUACCCGAUAUGCUGUGGAGUGAAAGGAAUUUCGCCUAAAGAUGAUCUUGCGUCUGAUUAGCUAGAUAGUGUGGUAAUGGCGCACUAUGGCGACGAUCAGUAGCUGGUCUGAGAGGAUGGACAGCCACAUUGGAACUGAGACACGGUCCAAACUCCUACGGGAGGCAGCAGUGGGGAAUUUUCCGCAAUGGGCGAAAGCCUGACGGAGCAACGCCGCGUGAGGGAUGAAGGCCUCUGGGCUGUAAACCUCUUUUAUCAAGGAAGAAGAUCUGACGGUACUUGAUGAAUAAGCCACGGCUAAUUCCGUG
rnacentral:rRNA from 1 species